UUAUGGCUCAGGACGAACGCUGGCGGCGUGCCUAAUACAUGCAAGUCGAACGGUCUUUCUAUGGAAGCUUGCUUCCACUGAGAAGAUAGUGGCGAACGGGUGAGUAACACGUGGGUAACCUGCCCAUAAGAGGGGGAUAACAUCCGGAAACGGGUGCUAAUACCGCAUAGUUUUCUUGAUCGCAUGAUUGAGAAAGGAAAGACGGCCUUUGUGCUGUCGCUUAUGGAUGGACCCGCGGCGUAUUAGUUAGUUGGUGAGGUAACGGCUCACCAAGACGAUGAUACGUAGCCGACCUGAGAGGGUGAUCGGCCACAUUGGGACUGAGACACGGCCCAAACUCCUACGGGAGGCAGCAGUAGGGAAUCUUCCGCAAUGGACGAAAGUCUGACGGAGCAACGCCGCGUGAGUGAAAGAAGGUUUUCGGAUCGUAAAACUCUGUUGUCAGAGAAGAACAAGUUGGAGAGUAACUGCUCCAGCCUUGACGGUAUCUGACCAGAAAGCCACGGCUAACUACGUGCCAGCCGCCGC
rnacentral:rRNA from 1 species